rnacentral:rRNA from 1 species
UACAGAGGGGGCAAGCGUUGUUCGGAAUUACUGGGCGUAAAGGCGCGUAGGCGGCCUGCUAAGUCGAACGUGAAAUCCCUGGGCUCAACCCAGGAACUGCGUCCGAUACUGGUUGGCUUGAAUCCGGGAGAGGGACGUGGAAUUCCAGGUGUAGCGGUGAAAUGCGUAGAGAUCGGGAGGAACAUCUGUGGCGAAGGCGACUGCCUGGACCAGCAUUGACACUGAGGCACGAAAGCGUGGGGAGCAAACAGG